AAAUUUUUCAAAUGUCUUUCUGGGUGUGUGUUGUGCCGGGCUGUGUGAAGCUUAGUGUUUCCCUUGUUACAGGUGGACAGCAAACAUUGUGGAAGCAGUCCUCUGAGUCAUGGGGAGGGCAACGCCACAACAGACUGGAUGAUGCAAGUGAAGGGGAGAGAGGACCAGGGAAUGAUCCAAUGUCUUGCUGCCCCACUCACUGAGACAAGCCGCUGGACCCACCCAUCGCCAAGUGUUCCAGGAGGCAAGAAGAAGCAUGGGAGUGACUCUACACCAGGAAACUUUGACAGACCUCCUCCCCCUGCCUUCAAGUCUGGCCAAGUAAGUGUGUGUGUGUGUGUGUGUGUGUGUGUUUUUCUAAAGGAGUGACUAAAGACUCUCUAUUCUUCAACAACACUCAGCUGUCACCUUCUUCAACACUAAACAUCCUUGGUCUAUCCUUAGCUCAAAAUCUCAACUGGAAACUUCACACCUCCUCUCUUACUAAAUCAGCUUCCUCGAGGUUGGGCGUUCUGUAUCGUCUCCGCCAGUUCUUCUCCCCCGCACAGAUGCUUUCCAUUUAUAAGGGCCUUGUCUGCCCUCGUAUGGAGUAUGCAUCUCACGUGUGGGGGGCUCCACUCACACAGCUCUCUAGGACAGAGUGGAGUCUAAGACUUUUCCUCUCAUCAGCUCUCCUCCUCUUACUGAUAGUCUUCUACCUCUUAAAUUCUGCCACCAUGUUGCUUCACUUUCCAUCUUCUAUCGAUAUUUUCACACUGACUGCUCUUCUGAAUUUGCUAACUGCGUGCCUCCCCCCCUCCCGCGGCCCCGCUGCACACUACUUUCUACUCAUGCUCAUCCCUAUACUGUCCAAACCCCUUAUGCAAGAGUUAACCAGCAUCUUCACUCUUUCAUCCCUAUACUGUCCAAACCCCUAAUGCAAGAGUUAACCAGCAUCUUCACUCUUUCAUCCCUAUACUGUCCAAACCCCUUAUGCAAGAGUUAACCAGCAUCUUCACUCUUUCAUCCCUAUACUGUCCAAACCCCUUAUGUAAGAGUUAACCAGCAUCUUCACUCUUUCAUCCCUAUACUGUCCAAACCACUUAUGCAAGAGUUAACCAGCAUCUUCACUCUUUCAUCCCUAUACUGUCCAAACCCCUUAUGCAAGAGUUAACCAGCAUCUUCACUCUUUCAUCCCUAUACUGUCCAAACCCCUUAUGUAAGAGUUAACCAGCAUCUUCACUCUUUCAUCCCUAUACUGUCCAAACCCCUUAUGCAAGAGUUAACCAGCAUCUUCACUCUUUCAGCCCUUUACUGUCCAAACCCCUUAUGCAAGAGUUAACCAGCAUCUUCACUCUUUCAGCCCUAUACUGUCCAAACACCGUAUGCAAGAGUUAACCAGCAUCUUCACUCUUUCAUCCCUUUACUGUCCAAACCCCUUAUGCAAGAGUUAACCAGCAUCUUCACUCUUUCACCCCUAUACUGUCCAAACCCGUUAUGCAAGAGUUAACCAGCAUCUUCACUCUCUCAGCCCUUUACUGUCCAAACCCCUUAUGCAAGAGUUAACCAGCAUCUUCACACUCUCAUCCCUAUGCUGUCCAAACCCCUUAUGCAAGAGUUAACCAGCAUCUUCACUCUUUCAGCCCUUUUCUGUCCAAACCCCUUAUGCAAGAGUUAACCAGCAUCUUCACUCUUUCAUCCCUAUACUGUCCAAACCCCUUAUGCAAGAGUUAACCAGCAUCUUCACUCUUUCAUCCCUAUACUGUCCAAACCCCUUAUGCAAGAGUUAACCAGCAUCUUCACUCUUUCAUCCCUCACGCUGGUAAACUCUGGAACAAUCUUCCUUCAUCUGUAUUUCCUCCUGCCUACGACUUGAACUCUUUCAAGAGGAGGGUAUCAGGACACCUCUCCUCCCGAUUUAUUUAUUUAUUUAUUUAUUUAUUUUUUAUUUAUUUUUUUUUUCCAGGACAGCGAGUAGCAGGCUUUUUUUUCACAUGUGCUUCCUCUUUUUGUGCCCUUGAAGUGACUCCUCUGCUUUAUAAAAACAAAAGAAGUAAUAAGUACCAACACUAACAAAUAGUCAUAGCACGGUUUAGCAGCUUGAUUCCUUAUAUUAUUUUCCUCACAAACCGAAAAGUUCAAACCAAAAUGAAUGUACUGCUCAAAACACCGAGAUCGCACACUACAGCACAAGCGUAAGUGUUCAGGAGGGUGCCACCUCUGUGAGUGUACAAUGCAGCCCAUUCACAUUGUUUUAUGCUCUGAGCGCUCUGGUCUUGCAGCACAGAGGGCUUCGUGGUGCAGUGGUUAG